rnacentral:lncRNA from 1 species
GCUGACGCGUCAAGUUUUGCGAACUAAGCUGUCUUUUUGUACUGUGAAUAUGUACUCUUUUGUGCAUAUUAAGUUUUUCGUCAUUACCUAACGAUGAAUUUAACGGCACAAUAUAAUAAAAUUAAAGUAAGAAUCAAAACAGAUAUUGUAUUUAAACUAAAAACAUAACGCAAACACAAAAAUGCACAAAAAGUAAUAUGGUUUGGCAUUUUUACUUCUUCCACAUUAUCAUACACACUAAGAUGCUCAGAAUCUCCAUAAAUGUGGCCGCACCCGUGUCGGAUCCUUAAAAAAUGCACUACUUCUGAAGGAUCCGACACACAACCAAUGACAUUUUUGAAGCGUCCGAGCAACAUAGCACACUAUUAACAUAUGCUUUGGCAUUUUUACUUCUUCCUAUUUCCUCCUUGUUUCUUCAACCUCCCCUUCCUCUUCCCUUUCCCCUUCUUCUUUUCAGUCUGGUUACCGCCUGAGGUCCCGGAAGUGCUGGCAGACGGAAGAAGAUUCGUCGUAGCAACUUCAUCAUACGCUACAUCAAGUAUCUCCGCGCAUUGGUUCUCCAACACGACAGUUGUACCCGUGGGCACAACGAGCUGAUUCAAGAAAGCUUCUAGUUUCGGCUUUUUUGACAGCAAACUCUUUAGCAGCUGUUCAAUGCUAGCCUUUUCCAGAAUGCUGCAUAACAUUAAGCACAAAAUAAUUCAACAAGGU